GCAUCGUGCUACACUGCAGUCGACGGAAUCUUCGGAUUUAGUGGCGGACGGGUGAGUAACACGUGAGAAUCUGGCUUCAGGAUGGGGAUAACAACUGGAAACGGUUGCUAAAACCCAAUGUGCCGAGAGGUGAAAUAUUUUACAGCCUGAAGAUGAGCUCGCGUCUGAUUAGCUAGAUGGUGGGGUAAAAGCCUACCAUGGCGACGAUCAGUAGCUGUUCUGAGAGGAAGAUCAGCCACACUGGGACUGAGACACGGCCCAGACUCCUACGGGAGGCAGCAGUGGGGAAUUUUCCGCAAUGGGCGAAAGCCUGACGGAGCAAUACCGCGUGCGGGAGGAAGGCCCUUGGGUCGUAAACCGCUUUUCUUAGGGAAGAAACCUGACGGUACCUAAGGAAUAAGCCUCGGCUAACUCCGUGCCAGCAGCCGCGGUAAUACGGAGGAGGCAAGCGUUAUCCGGAAUUAUUGGGCGUAAAGAGUCCGUAGGUGGUUCAUCAAGUCUGCGGUUAAAGAGUGCAGCUCAACUGCAUAAGGGCCGUGGAAACUGUUGAACUAGAGUAUGGUAGGGGUAGGGGGAAUUCCCAGUGUAGCGGUGAAAUGCGUAGAGAUUGGGAAGAACACCGGUGGCGAAAGCGCCCUACUGGGCCAUAACUGACACUGAGGGACGAAAGCUAGGGUAGCGAAUGGGAUUAGAUACCCCAGUAGUCCUAGCCGUAAACGAUGGAAACUAGGCGUAGCUUGUAUCGACCCGAGCUGUGCCGAAGCUAACGCGUUAAGUUUCCCGCCUGGGGAGUACGCACGCAAGUGUGAACUCAAAGGAAUUGACGGGGGCCCGCACUAGCGUGGAGUAUGUGGUUUAAUUCGAUGCAACGCGAAGAACCUUACCAAGGCUUGACAUCCCGCGAAUCCCCUUGAAAGGGGGAGUGCCUU
rnacentral:rRNA from 1 species